GUGGGCCCUCUCUGGAAGGAAACAGGAGACCUGGUCACCCAGGAUAUGGAGAAGACUGAGGUACUUAAUGGCUAUUUUGACAUGACAGCCAACAUGGCUUCACUAAGGGCAGAUUGUGCCUGACAAACAUGGUGGCCUUCUACAGUGGGGUUACGGCAUUGGUGGAUAGGGAAAGAGCAACUGACAUCAUCUACCUGGACUUCUGCAAGGCAUUUGACACUGUCCCCCAUGAUAUCCUUGUCUCUAAAUUGGAGAGACAUGGAUUUAAUAGAUGGACCACUCACUGGAUAAGGAAUUGUCUGGAUGGUUGCACUCAAAUUGUUGCAGACAAUGGCUCAAUGUCCAGGUGGACAUCAGUAACCAGUGGUGUUCCUCAGGGGUCUGUUUUGGACCAGCAGUGUUUGACAUCUUUGUCAGUGACAUGGACAGUGGGAUCAAGUGCACCCUCAGCAAGUUUGCUGAUGACACCAAGCUGUGUGGUGUCGUUGACAUGCUGGAGGGAAGAGAUGCCAUCCAGAGGGACCUGGACAGGCUUGAGAGGUGGGCCUAUGCAAACCUCAUGAGGUUCAACAAGGCCAAGUGCAAGGUCCUGCAUCUGUGCUGGGGCAAUCCCAAGCAGAAAUACAGGCUGGGUGGAGAAUGGAUUGAGAGCACCCUUGCGGUGAAGGACCUGGGGGUGUUGGUUGAUGAGAAGCUCGGCAUGAGGAGCCAUCAAUGUGUGUUUGCAACCCAUAAAGCCAACUGUAUCCUGGGCUGCAUCAAAAGCAGUGUGGCCAGCAGAUCAAGGGAGGUGAUUCUCCCCUUCUGCUCCGCUCUUGUGAGACCCCACCUGGAGUACUGUGUUCAGAUCUGGGGCCCCCAGCACAAGAAGGACAUGGAAUUAUUAGGACUCCAGCGGAGGGCCAUGAGGAUGAUCAUAGGGCCGGAGGACCUCUCCUACGAAGACAGGCUAAGGGAGUUGGGGUUUUUCAGCCUGGAGAAGAGAAGGCUCUGGGGAGACCUUAUAGCGACCAUCCCAUGCCUAAAGGGGGCCUACAGGAAAGCUGGGGAGGGACUCUUUGUUAGGGAGUGCAGUGAUAGGACAAGGGGUAAUGGCUUUAAACUAAGAGAGGGUAGGUUUAGAUUAAUCAUUAGGAGGAAAUUCUUCACUCAGAGGGUAGUGAGGCACUGGCACAGGUUGCCCAGAGAAGCUGUGGAUGCCCCAUCCCUGGAGGUGCUCAAGGCCAGGCUGGAUGGGGCUUUGGGCAACCUGGUCUGGUCGGAGGUGUCCCUGC
rnacentral:lncRNA from 1 species